UAUUAAACUUGCUGCGGUUGAACCGCUCGUAGUUGGAUUGUGAACCGUGACCACGGUCCUCUAAGUGAAGAGGAAUGGCUUUGCCGCCGUUGGUCGUGAUCAAUGAUGUCAUAGUUGUCCGGAUGCUCUUCAUCGGGUGUCUUGGACGGCAUGAAUGUUUACUUUGAGAAAAUAAGAGCGCCCAAAGCAGGCUGCUAUAUGCUUGAACGGAAUUUCAUGGGAUAGUGAAAGAUGAUCUCGCUGGCGUUGAAAAACUGGCCACGAGGUAAUGAUUAAAAGGGACAGACGGUGGCAUUCGUACUGCUACGUUAGAGGUGAAAUUCUUGGAUCGUAGCAAGACGAACGAUUGCGAAAGCAUUUGCCAAGAAUGUUUUCAUUAAUCAAGAACGAAAGUUGGAGGAUCGAAGGCGAUCAGAUACCGCCCUAGUUGCGACUUUAAACGAUGCCAACUGGCGGUUCGGCGAAGUCUCUCUGACGACUCGCUGAGCAGCCCCCGGGAAACCAAAGUCUUUCGGUUCCGGGGGAAGUACGGUUGCAAAGCUGAAACUUAAAGGAAUUGACGGAAGGGCACCACCAGGAGUGGAGCAUGCGGCUUAAUUUGACUCAACGCGGGAAAGUUCACCCGUCCCGGACACUGUCAGGAUUGACAGAUCAAGAGCUCUUUCUUGAUUCAGUGGAUAGUGGUGCAUGGCCGUUCUUAGUUGGUGGAGCGAUUUGUCUGGCCAAUCCCGAUAACGAACGAGACUCUGGCCUACUAACUAGUGACGGCGUGGUCUUUUCGCUGAGCACUUCUUAGAGGGACCAGCGGCGGUACAAAGCCGCACGAGAAAGAGCAAUAACAGGUCUGUGAUGCCCUUAGAUGGGCGGGGCUGCACGCGUGCUACACUGAUGGCAUCAACGUGCGUCCAAGCCUGACCUGUGAAGGUCAGGAAAUCGAUUGAAAUGUCCGUCGUGACUGGGAUAGGGAAUUGCAAUUAUUUCCCUUGAACGCGGAAUUCCCAGUAAGCGUGAGUCAUUAGCU
rnacentral:rRNA from 1 species